rnacentral:tRNA from 1 species
GGGCACUUAGCUCAGUGGUAGAGCGGUCGCUUUACAUGCGAUAUGUCGGGGGUUCAAGUCCCUCAGUGCCCA